rnacentral:rRNA from 1 species
AUUGAACGCUGGCGGCAGGCCUAACACAUGCAAGUCGAGCGGAUGAAGGGAGCUUGCUCCUGGAUUCAGCGGCGGACGGGUGAGUAAUGCCUAGGAAUCUGCCUGGUAGUGGGGGAUAACGUCCGGAAACGGGCGCUAAUACCGCAUACGUCCUGAGGGAGAAAGUGGGGGAUCUUCGGACCUCACGCUAUCAGAUGAGCCUAGGUCGGAUUAGCUAGUUGGUGGGGUAAAGGCCUACCAAGGCGACGAUCCGUAACUGGUCUGAGAGGAUGAUCAGUCACACUGGAACUGAGACACGGUCCAGACUCCUACGGGAGGCAGCAGUGGGGAAUAUUAGACAAUGGGCGAAAGCCUGAUCCAGCCAGGCCGCGUGUGUGAAGAAGGUCUUCGGAUUGUAAAGCACUUUAAGUUGGGAGGAAGGGCAGUAAGUUAAUACCUUGCUGUUUUGACGUUACCAACAGAAUAAGCACCGGCUAACUUCGUG